CCGUAUUCUGCUCACGUCGGAUUAGUUCUCUUCUCCUCGCGAGAAAGGCAACAACCGCGUGGCUUUACGAAACUCCCCUUUUUUCGGACGAGGGUGCGCGUGGCAGAUGCUAGGAGACCCCGACCUGGGGUCCUUCGCUUCUCUCUUUCGUUCGGUCCGCGAACGAUCAAGCUCUGUGCGAGAGAGCGAGGUUUUACCAGUCUGUGGCGAGGUCAAAAGUGAGAGUCCAAAGGGGGGAGUCCUUCCUCUCCUCGCCCUCUCUUUGGCACCUCGGCAUGUCCGAUCUUUUUAGUGUCGGUACGUACCAAUGACCCUUUUCGUCGCUAGAUCAAGCGAUGGUCUGGGUGCGUUCAAAGAGCUUGUGGUGGAAACGCCAAGCCGCCGGCCAAACUUUAUCCCCGGUCGUCUAACUAUAUUUUUUUUAUUACACGAACAAGGACACAACAAGUUUGUUGCGAGCCGUCGUCUUUUCGGCGGCCGUCUCACUCAAUAUGAAACGUUAACGUACGACCGUAGGCGUUGGAUCACUCGGCUCGU
rnacentral:misc_RNA from 1 species